UGAACGCUGGCGGCGUGCCUAACACAUGCAAGUCGAGCGAAGCACUUUGCUUAGAUUCUUCGGAUGAAGAGGAUUGUGACUGAGCGGCGGACGGGUGAGUAACGCGUGGGUAACCUGCCUCAUACAGGGGGAUAACAGUUAGAAAUGACUGCUAAUACCGCAUAAGACCACAGCACCGCAUGGUGCGGGGGUAAAAACUCCGGUGGUAUGAGAUGGACCCGCGUCUGAUUAGCUAGUUGGUAAGGUAACGGCUUACCAAGGCGACGAUCAGUAGCCGACCUGAGAGGGUGACCGGCCACAUUGGGACUGAGACACGGCCCAAACUCCUACGGGAGGCAGCAGUGGGGAAUAUUGCACAAUGGGGGAAACCCUGAUGCAGCGACGCCACGUGAGCGAAGAAGUAUUUCGGUAUGUAAAGCUCUAUCAGCAGGGAAGAAAAUGACGGUACCUGACUAAGAAGCACCGGCUAAAUACGUGCCAGCAGCCGCGGUAAUACGUAUGGUGCAAGCGUUAUCCGGAUUUACUGGGUGUAAAGGGAGCGUAGACGGAUGGGCAAGUCUGAUGUGAAAACCCGGGGCUCAACCCCGGGACUGCAUUGGAAACUGUUCAUCUAGAGUGCUGGAGAGGUAAGUGGAAUUCCUAGUGUAGCGGUGAAAUGCGUAGAUAUUAGGAGGAACACCAGUGGCGAAGGCGGCUUACUGGACAGUAACUGACGUUGAGGCUCGAAAGCGUGGGGAGCAAACAGG
rnacentral:rRNA from 1 species